GCAUAGGUGGGGGUGGGAGGCGGGGGAAGACGUAGGGGGGAAGGGGUGUGCGGAUGGAUUGGGCGGAAAGAGGGGGCAGGCGGCCAUGUAGGUCGGUUGUGAAAACUCGAGGCUCAACCUCGAGACGCCGAUGGAAACCAUGUGGCUAGAGUCCGGAAGAGGAGAGUGGAAUUCCCGGUGUAGCGGUGAAAUGCGCAGAUAUCGGGAAGAACACCCGUGGCUAAGGCGGCUCUCUAGUACGGUACUGACGCUGAGACGCGAAAGCGUGGGGAGCGAACAGGAUUAGAUACCCGAGUAGUC
rnacentral:rRNA from 1 species